AUGGCAACGAAAACAUCAUUUAUUACAGCUCUCCUCCUAUCUUGGUUCCUGCUUUUUAUCUGUCUCUUCACUCAGUUCAGAUCCGUCGAGGCUACACCCCGUAAAUUAGGUUUCAGGCAACGUACUCCGGCGGUUCGCUCGUAUCUUCCUCCUCCUCCUCCUCAAAUCCGGGCUCGACCGUCCACGUCACCCAAAGGCCCUGGUCCAUAGACGUAUGUAGUGAUGGAGAAUAAUAUACGACCAUAAGUUAUAAUAUAUAUAUAUAUAUAUAUAUAUAUAUAU